CUCCUGACACAUACACUGACAAUAAUAGCACAGCUUGGCAAUAAAGAAUGGAUUUCCAGUGUAGGAUUUCACAAAAUACGCAAUUCACUGUGAACCACAGAGAUAACUGUGCAUGAAAAUCCCUGCAGAUCAGCACCAACAACUAUACCACAAUUAAAGUCACUUAAAUCCCAUUUAUACUUAUUACGAUGGUCAGUUUGAACCUCAAGAAGUCGUUUUCACCACAUCGAGAUCCAAGGGCUGCUGCCAUGAGAAAGGCUUAUUCACUAAUUGUGUUGGCAAUCUACAGAACAGGUACCUAAUGAAGAAGCCAGUGCGCGUAAAUAGCAUCUGAUGGUUGUCAUGAAGAGCUGGUGACCCCAUGAUGCCACUCAUUAGAUUUCCCCUUAUCAUCCUUCUCACUGUGUGUGGUAAAAUAAACUUCGGUCCUCAUUCAGCCUUUUGGCCUGCGGCUGAAAUGGGCUUCUGUGUGCCAUGGUUUGUGGUUGAGAUGUAUCCACUUGCAGAUGACAUGGCAGCAGUUCCGUUUUGCAGACAAAGGUUUAUUGGAAAAACAACUUACAAAAACCAAAAGAACUGGUGCAAUAUAUACUGGAGAGCCAGUGAAGACAGGACCUGAAGAAAACGGCAUGGAUGACACAGACGACGAGGAACAACAGAAUCUGGCGAGGAGAUGAGAUAACUGAUGGGGUUUUAACUACUGGGAGGGUUGAUGAGUGGCACGAGAAGCAUGUGUGAUUAAUCAGUGGAAUGGAGCGCAGCUGUUGAAGCACCCAAGCAUGGAAGCUUGAAUAAAAUAAAGAGAAUUAAACAAGAAA